rnacentral:rRNA from 1 species
GAUGAACGCUAGCUACAGGCUUAACACAUGCAAGUCGAGGGGAAACGAUAUUGGAAGCUUGCUUCCGAUAGGCGUCGACCGGCGCACGGGUGAGUAACGCGUAUCCAACCUGCCCGUCACUUGGGAAUAACCUUGCGAAAGUAAGACUAAUGCCCAAUGACAUUUAUAGAAGGCAUCUGAAAUGAAUUAAAGAUUUAUCGGUGAUGGAUGGGGAUGCGUCUGAUUAGCUUGUUGGCGGGGUAACGGCCCACCAAGGCUACGAUCAGUAGGGGUUCUGAGAGGAAGGUCCCCCCACAUUGGAACUGAGACACGGUCCAAACUCCUACGGGAGGCAGCAGUGAGGAAUAUUGGUCAAUGGGCGAGAGCCUGAACCAGCCAAGUAGCGUGCAGGAAGACGGCCCCUAUGGGUUGUAAACUGCUUUUAUAGGGGAAUAAAGUGAGCCACGUGUGGUUUUUUGCAUGUACCCUAUGAAUAAGGACCGGCUAAUUCCGUG